CGUAUAUGUGUUUGGUUCUUGAUAUCCUUUCUACUGCUCUCGAUCUUUACCAUAUUGCCUCCUGGAUAUUUCUGAAGUACUGAGUUUGAUAAGAAGAAGAGAAAUAGUUCUGUUUAAUGAGCCAAUACCAUCAGUCUAGCAGGCUGUGUAGAGGUUUCAGCAUUUUGAUUUUUCUAUGAAGGAAUUCUGACUUUAGAUCGAUUGGUCCUAUCCUUCUUGCUUCAGGCUACAUUUUUGAGAUAUCUUCUAACUCUCAGAUUGAGCCUAUAUUGGUACCUAUCUUUCCUUCUCAUAUUCCAGCAGCUAUAAUAUAUUUCUAAGUUGGUGAAAAGUUUCUAUUACUUGCCUUUCUUCUAUGGGUGCUUUUCCUUUCUCUCUAUGGUUUUCAUUGAUCUUUUAGCCUAAGAAGGGCCUUUGGCUUGAAAUAUUUUUUUUUUCUGGACUUGUCACUUGGAUGGUGAUGUCUAGGACUCCUCUAGAAAUGAUCCUGAUACCCCACUUGCUCCCUAGGUGUUGAGCCAA
rnacentral:lncRNA from 1 species